GGUCCCGUAGCUCAGCUGGAUAGAGCAGCUGCCUUCUAAGCAGCGGGUCAGGGGUUCGACUCCUCUCGGGAUCG
rnacentral:tRNA from 1 species